rnacentral:rRNA from 1 species
ACCAGACUCCUACGGGAGGCAGCAGUAGGGAAUCUUCGGCAAUGGGGGGAACCCUGACCGAGCAACGCCGCGUGAGUGAAGAAGGUUUUCGGAUCGUAAAGCUCUGUUGUUAGAGAAGAACGGUAAUGGGAGUGGAAAAUCCAUUACGUGACGGUAACUAACCAGAAAGGGACGGCUAACUACGUGCCAGCAGCCGCGGUAAUACGUAGGUCCCGAGCGUUGUCCGGAUUUAUUGGGCGUAAAGCGAGCGCAGGCGGUUUGAUAAGUCUGAAGUUAAAGGCUGUGGCUUAACCAUAGUUCGCUUUGGAAACUGUCAAACUUGAGUGCAGAAGGGGAGAGUGGAAUUCCAUGUGUAGCGGUGAAAUGCAUAGAUAUAUGGAGGAACACCGGUGGCGAAAGCGGCUCUCUGGUCUGUAACUGACGCUGAGGCUCGAAAGCGUGGGGAGCAAACAGGAUUAGAUACCCGAGUA